UUAAAGGUUUUUUUAAAAACCACCUGGCUCAUUUUAAAAUGAUGAAU
rfam:Pan troglodytes isolate Yerkes chimp pedigree #C0471 (Clint) chromosome 4, whole genome shotgun sequence.